CUGAGUUAGGGCUGUUACUAAAAAUACUUCUAAACACUAACCCAAGCCAUGGAACAGGAAGGGCUUCUCCAGUCCAAAGACUACAUGAAAAGAGAAGAAGAAAAGGCUUCCCGUUUGUAAAAGGAUGGUGCCAAAAUAACAAAAGCAAACAACUUCAGCAUACUUUUGUAAGAACACUGCAGUUCGCUCCUGCAUUCAUGAGGAAUCAGAAAACAUCUGUACCAUAUAUGAAAUGUUAAUGGAGUGCACCUAUUUCUCCUGAGAAUGCAACGAAGACCUCAAAGAUCUGCAGUUUCUCUGAGAUUUCACAUCUGUCUAACAUGAGGGUACCUAGGCUGUGCUCUAGAAAUGAGCUCUACUCUUCAGAUACCCUGCAUACAUCCCAUCUGAUGUACACAAAAUGAACAAGUCCCAGAUGACUCCUGAUCUGGUGCAUCCAACCAGGACAUCCAGAGACCACCAGACAAAUGAAACAUCCUACCAGGACAUCCAGAGACCACCAGAUGAAUGAAAACAUCUGAAGGCAGAUGACAAACCCAUCAAGAGGAGAUGUACCAAGGGGGAGAGUAAGCUGAUAAAUUGGGGAGACAGCAGGACUUUAACUCCUCAAGCUGAGACUGUGUGGAAACAACAAGGACUAACCCAAAAAUGAUGCUGUUAUGUUAAUGACUGUAUUACAAGUUAAUUCUUGUCAAUGAAGAAUCCAAAUGCCUUUCGUCAGGGAGGAUAAGACACACAUAUGAAAGGAGAUAGUAUGAUAUUGUUGUGCCAUGCUAAGGACUGUUCAUGAAGGUUUGUGUGGAAUAGGCCAUAUUACACUCAUUUCGCUCACAGCAAAAAUAAUAGCAGAAAUUAAGACAUGAAUGAACUGAGGAUGUUUUUGCCUUUCCUCAGUCCUCUGUUAGCUAUCCUUACAAUUCUCUCAUGCUUGCCUGUGUUAAUUAGACUAGCUAUAGGGGCAAUACAUUCAACCCUGGCCUCUAUUACAACCACUUUUUCUUUAAAAAAAAAUUAGAAGGGAGAUGUUGGGGAGCCAGAGGUCCUUGUACUCACAGAGAAGCACUAUGAGGACCGGGAAUAUAAUCACACAGGGGCACAAAUCAAAUUAGCUGCUUUCCAGGCAUGGUCAGAACAGAGAGGACAUGAUCUAAAGAAACAUGACUGUUAACUGUGUUUUAGAGCUCCUAGGCUCUAAAUAACAACAUGUAAUAAGGUACCAACAAUGGUUAAUUAAUGUAACAAAUGUGUCAUAUUAAGAAUAAAGGGAACUAGGUAUAAAACAGACAAAAACUCCCUGCUACUAUCUUUAUAAUAACGUUUAAAAUCUAAAACUGUAAUCAAAUAAAAGUUCACAUAAAAAUUACUGGAUUUUCUGUAUCAAGAAAUAUUGAUGUGGUGAUUCAUGUCUGUUACUCAGCACUUGGGAGGCAGAGGUAAGAGGAUUAUAGCAAGUCCAAGGCCAACCUGGCCUGCACACAGAAUUCCAUUAAGAAAAGUAGACAGUGCAGAGAAAGACAGAAUGGAGGGAGCGACAGAGGGAGCGGGGAGAAAGGGGUAGGAGA